AGUAGCCCGGAGAUGGACACUGAGAAAAGGGUCUAGGUCCUACGGGGCGCAGCAGGCGCGAAACCUUCGCAAUGUGCGAAAGCAUGACGAGGUUACUCCGAGUGUCACCCGCUGAGGGUGACUUUUACUAGGCAUAAAUUACCUAGAGAAUAAGGGGAGGGCAAGUCUGGUGUCAGCCGCCGCGGUAAUACCAGCUCCCCGAGUGGUUGGGACGUUUAUUGGGCCUAAAGCAUCCGUAGCCGGUCUUGUAGGUCUUCUGUUAAAUUCAAUAGCUCAACUAUUGAGCUGCAGGAGAUACCGCAGGACUAGGAGGCGGGGGAGGUGGACGGUACUCAAUGGGUAGGGGUAAAAUCCUUUGAUCCAUUGAAGACCACCAGUGGCGAAGGCGGUCCACCACAACGCGCUCGACGGUGAGGGAUGAAAGCUGGGGGAGCGAACCGGAUUAGAUACCCGGGUAGUCCCAGCUGUAAACGAUGUGAGCUAGGUGAUGGGGUGGCUACGGGCCAUCCCAGUGCCCCAGGGAAGCCGUUAAGCUCACCGCCUGGG
rnacentral:rRNA from 1 species